CCGUUCAAUACUGCGGGACUUGAGGGCAGAAGAGGGGGGUGGAAUUGCUGGUGUAGUGGUGAAAUGCGUAGAUAUCAGCAGGAACACCUGUGGCGAAAGCGGCCCCCUGGUCUGCUCCUGACACUCAGACGCGAAAGCUAGGGGAGUGAACGGGAUUAGAAACCCCGGUAAUCCUAGCCGUAAACGAUGGAUGCUAGGUGUGGGUGGUAUUGACCCCAUCCGUGCCGAAGCCAACGCGUUAAGCAUCCCGCCUGGGGACUAUGGCCGCAAGGUUAAAACUCAAAGGAAUUGACGGGGACCCGCACAAGCAGCGGAGCGUGUGGUUUAAUUCGAUGCUACACGAAGAACCUUACCCAGGUUUGACAUACAGGUAGUAGUGAAGCGAAAGCGGAACGAUCCUUCGGGAAGCCUGAACAGGUGCUGCAUGGCUGUCGUCAGCUCGUGCCGUGAGGUGUUUGGUUAAGUCCACUAACGAGCGCAACCCCUGUCGUCAGUUACAUGUGUCUGGCGAGACUGCCGGUCUUAAACCGGAGGAAGGUGGGGAUGACGUCAAGUCAGCAUGGCCUUUAUAUCUGGG
rnacentral:rRNA from 1 species